rnacentral:rRNA from 1 species
AGCGAACGCUGGCGGCAGGCCUAACACAUGCAAGUCGAACGGAUCCUUCGGGAUUAGUGGCGGACGGGUGAGUAACACGUGGGAACGUGCCCUUUGGUUCGGAACAACUCAGGGAAACUUGAGCUAAUACCGGAUGUGCCCUUCGGGGGAAAGAUUUAUCGCCAUUGGAGUGGCCCGCGUCUGAUUAGCUAGUUGGUGAGGUAAAGGCUCACCAAGGCAACGAUCUAUAGCUGGUCUGAGAGGAUGAUCAGCCACACUGGGACUGAGACACGGCCCAGACUCCUACGGGAGGCAGCAGUGGGGAAUCUUGCGCAAUGGGCGAAAGCCUGACGCAGCCAUGCCGCGUGAAUGAUGAAGGUCUUAGGAUUGUAAAAUUCUUUCACCGGGGACGAUAAUGACGGUACCCGGAGAAGAAGCCCCGGCUAACUUCGUGCCAGCCGCCGCCGUAAGAC